rnacentral:rRNA from 1 species
UACGUAGGGGGCUAGCGUUGUCCGGAAUCAUUGGGCGUAAAGCGCGUGUAGGCGGUCCGGUAAGUCCGCUGUGAAAGUCGGGGGCUCAACCCUCGAAAGCCGGUGGAUACUGUCGGGCUAGAGUACGGAAGAGGCGAGUGGAAUUCCUGGUGUAGCGGUGAAAUGCGCAGAUAUCAGGAGGAACACCAAUUGCGAAGGCAGCUCGCUGGGACGUUACUGACGCUGAGACGCGAAAGCCAGGGGAGCGAACGGG